UACGGAAGGGGCAAGCGUUGUUCGGAAUCAUUGGGCGUAAAGGGUGCGUAGGCGGCGCGGUAAGUCGGGUGUGAAAUCUCGGAGCUUAACUCCGAAACUGCAUUCGAUACUGCCGUGCUUGGGGACUGGAGAGGAGACUGGAAUUUACGGUGUAGCGGUGAAAUGCGUAGAUAUCGUAAGGAAGACCAGUGGCGAAGGCGGGUCUCUGGACAGUUCCUGACGCUGAGGCACGAAGGCCAGGGGAGCAAACGGG
rnacentral:rRNA from 1 species